CGAGAGGACCGGGAUGGACGUACCUCUGGUGUACCAGUUGUCCUGCCAAGGGCAUGGCUGGGUAGCUAUGUACGGAAUGGAUAAGCGCUGAAAGCAUCUAAGCGCGAAGCCAACUUCAAGAUAAGAUGUCCCACCGCAAGGGUAAGACCCCAGAAAGACUAUCUGGUUGAUAGGUCGAAGGUGUAAGUGCAGCAAUGUAUUUAGCUUAUCGAUACUAAUAGGUCGAGGACUUGACCAAU
rnacentral:rRNA from 1 species